GUAGGUGAACCUGCGGAAGGAUCAUUCAUAAUAAGUGUUUUAUGGCACUUUUUAAAUCCAUAUCCACCUUGUGUGCAAUGUCGGUCGAUCUUCUUCAUGGAGAUCGACCAAACAUCAACCUUUAUCUUUUAACUCUUUGUCUGAAAAAUAUUAUGAAUAAACAAUUCAAAAUACAACUUUCAACAACGGAUCUCUUGGCUCUCGCAUCGAUGAAGAACGCAGCAUCUGACUGACUGUAACCGUAACCAUC
rnacentral:misc_RNA from 1 species